CCCUUAGAUGUCCUGGGCCGCACGCGCGCUACACUGAGUGUCUGAGAUACGAGUCUGCCUGGUCCGGCAAGGUCUAGGUAAUCGCUAAAAGACACAUCAUGCUUGGGAUAGAUUAUUGCAAAUAUUAAUCUUGAACGAGGAAUUCCUAGUAAGCGCAAGUCAACAGCUUGCGUUGAUUACGUCCCUGCCCUUUGCACACACCGCCCGUCGCUACUACUGAUUGGAUGUUUAAGCGAGGUUCUCGAACUGCUAGCGACUUAGCUUCGGUGAGGUCGCAGUGUGGGAAGUGAACCGAGCUUUGGUGUCUAGAGGAAGUAAAAGUCGUAACA
rnacentral:rRNA from 1 species